rnacentral:lncRNA from 1 species
UUUUCUUUCUUCCUUCCCUCUUUCUUUUAUCAAAGGUGAGAGAGAGGUACUGAAUUGUCAACCGUGGUUGAAGAUGGAGUGCCUUCCAUCAAGGACCUCAAUGCACCUUACAAAUGUCAUGAGUCAUCAAAGCCCUUCUUUAAUGGAGCGGAAAAGAAAAUAUGAUCUAAAAAUAUUUUCACACAAGUGACUCUUCUCCAGCUCAUACACAUGAGAACUCCCUCACUAGUCCUAGAGAGUGGAAGUGAGAAGACCAAGACUCAGGAGAAAGAGGAGAGACUCUCAGGCUGUCCAGCAAGAAGAAUUCUUAUGCCACAAGAGCUGUCCCUGAUUCUCUGCCAUAGGCACAACCACCUACUUAUUGAGAGUGAAGCUUUGAUCCUGAAACACAAGCAUUAUCAUAAUGAAGCUGAAGCUGCCUUGGGCAAGAUCACAGCUCACUAUGAAUUUGGGGAAAUAAAAACCUGCCAAGGAAGAGAUCUCGACAAACACUGGAGACUCAUCAACCGGAGUGAAUUCCCUCAGUGAAAUCGCUAUCCUCUGCCAAGAAUCAAAGGUCAUCCCAGUGGAGUGCCGUCUUCGUGUUCAGCCGCUACGGAGUGUCUGGAACAGAGUGAGAACAAAAAUUAUCCCAGUUUGGUGCCCCCUGACUCUUUCGGGAAGAAUCCCAACAAGACUGCCACCGGGAGUUCAGAGAACACAUUUGAAGACUGGGGAAGGGCCAGGCUAAACAAGGGAGAAUAGUGAUGUAAAGACAAUAAGAUAAAGGAAAUAAAUGACUCAAAGACAAGUUUUAAGCCA